rnacentral:rRNA from 1 species
CCCUUAGAUGUCCUGGGCCGCACGCGCGUUACACUGAUGCAUUCAACGAGCUUAUAACCUUGGCCGAGAGGCCUGGGCAAUCUUGUUAACGUGCAUCGUGAUAGGGAUAGAUUAUUGAAAUUAUUAAUCUUGAACGUGGAAUUCCUAGUAAACGCAGAUCAUCAAUCUGCAUUGAUUACGUCCCUGCCCUUUGUACACACCGCCCGUCGCUCCUACCGAUUGGAUGAUCCGGUGAGCUAUUCGGACCUUCGCUUCGUCGAUUUUCGGCUUUGUGAGGGAAAGUCUCGCGAACCUUAUCAUCUAGAGGAAGGAGAAGUCGUAACA